GUGGGGAAUCUUCCGCAAUGGACGAAAGUCUGACGGAGCGACGCCGCGUGAGUGAAGAAGGCCUUCGGGUCGUAAAGCUCUGUCAUCAGGGACGAACGGCCGGUGGAGUGGAAAGCCACCGGAUUGACGGUACCUGAGAAGGAAGCCACGGCUAACUACGUGCCAGCAUCCGCGGUAAUACGUAGGUGGCAAGCGUUGUCCGGAAUUAUUGGGCGUAAAGCGCGCGCAGGUGGGAUCUUAAGUCCAUUUUUAAAGUUCGGAGCUCAACUCCGUGAUGAGAUGGAAACUGGGAUUCUUGAGUACCGGAGAGGAAAGCGGAAUUCCCCGUGUAGCGGUGAAAUGCGUAGAUAUGGGGAGGAACACCAGUGGCGAAGGCGGCUUUCUGGACGGUGUCUGACACUGAGGCGCGAAAGCCAGGGGAGCGAACGGGAUUAGAAACCCUGGUAGUCC
rnacentral:rRNA from 1 species